ACAAACUUUGCAAAGCCAAGAUUUCGGCACCAACUCCAGCUGGACAUGCGUGUGCCCCCAGCCCCACUCUGGGGCCGUUCCACAGCCGUGUGCCAGACCCUGAGGCACUCAGCAGCAGGAUCCAGACUUUCAGGUUCAUCACUGGACCCCCAUGACGGACCUGGUGGAGUGAGGGAUCCCUGCACAGCCCAGGAGGGCAGAGGGGUGAGGCACGAGCACCCGAGGGCUUUCACACGCCUUCACCCACAGCAGGUGGAGCGCGUUCGUCACUGCGGGCCCAACCAAGGAGGGAUACAAAGUUCAGCUGCACAGAACAGCAUCCCUGCAUCAAGCAGCUCAGAGCACUGAGAUCAAGAUUUUGGCCCAGAAGACAGGUAACCCUGGCUCCCCUGCCUUCAUCCUCAAUCCAGUCUCCUCCUGCCCCAUCAGGACUGCAGGGCAGGAGGAACAGGCAAGGAGGAGUUUGACCUUCACUGCUCCUUCCUUGAGGUCAUUGUUUUGAGCUUGUAGCUCAGAAUGGAUAAUUUUUAUGUGCUCAGAAUCUGCUGUGGACUUCAUUAAUCCAGAAAAGGCUAAAUGGGCACAGAACCUUUCCACUUGCUUGCCUUAACUGUACACUGAAAUCCCAAAUUCUGGUGUGCUGAGGGGCUGGUGGUUGCUUUGCUUUCAUCCUGCCUGUGUUUGGCCUUCAAAUGGGCAAAUGCAACUCUGAUAACAGAGCAGAGGAAAGCUCAGAGAGGCCACAGGAGCAUUGUGCCUCUUCGGAAGGAGACAGCAGAUAAACAGGAUUAAGGAAUUUUGCAUAGUUCAACCUGCCAGGUCCUGUGAAGAGGAAAUGUAGGCAGUGCCUGCAGCCCUGAUUCAGAGGAGAAGCCUUUGAAAUGCUUGCCAGGCAAAAUGUGUUAAGAUACAGUUUUCCUCUGUAGCAGGGUGCAGUGCAGGGAACAGCCCUCCCUCUGUGGAGCCCACCCCACGCCAGGCACAGUCUGUGGCGCUUUUACAGAUUUCAAGAGCCCUGGGAGCCAAGUAAAGCUGUCCUGAUUCUGAGUCACAGCCUGGUGCUGGUGGUGGAAUUCAAACAGGGAGAUCCCCUGCAAGAUGUUCUGCUCUGGACCAGACCAAAAAAAUUCACCAAGAAUUUGUUUCCCAGGAAGACCUUAAUUUUUUUCAUCUCUUUUGUUUUUUAUGGUUGUUGUUGUUGAAAAGUGCUGAAAACUAAAAUAUUUAGAAUGGGGCUGGUUGUAUUUGGGGUUUUCUUUAGGGGAAGGGGCUGGGUCUGGGGUUAUGUCUAGAGAAAGUGAUUGGAUUUCCAGGUGAAACUGGCAUGUUCUGACACCUGUUCUCACAGCAGCAGGUGUAUCUUGCAGUGGUUUGGGCUAUGCCCUGUGGGAAUGGAGCAUUAGAGAAUCUGCCCUCAGCAGUCUUUCCCCCCAGGAGGAGAGGAUACACCUGUAAUCCACCACUGCUCUGGGACAAGAGAAGCUGCCAGUGUCCCUCUCCAAAACCAGAGCCCUUCAUAUUCUCUCCUCACUCCUUUGGCCACAGCACCAAAGGAUGAACACUGAUUUUUGUGAGCUCUCUGUAAGCCAGCACACAGUGAACCCUGAGGGGACUCUGCUUAUCAAACUCAAGGGAAAGAUAUUGUGAGAAAGGACAGGAGCACUGCAAAAUAAAGUUCCUGCUGUGUGAUCAGCUCCAUGGAGUGCCAUCCCAGCCUGUAUAGUGUCACUGGACUGCCAUGUACUUUACCAUUGGUGGCUCUGCCUUUUUGCCCCUCAGGUUUGGCUGGGGAUGCAGCACAGAGCCAGGUUUGGCCACUUCAGUGAAGCUGGGGAAAGAGGGCAGAAGAAAAUCAAGGCAGAAACCAGCACAGCCUAAGCAUUCCCUGUGGCACAAGGACAAGAGCAGCAUCCAUCAUCCCUCUGGGGUGGGACUGAGGCAACUGAUGCAAAGAGGUGUGGUGGAAGGUUUUGGAGAUUUCCUGAGUGCCCAGGGUGCUCAUCGAGAAUUUGGCUGUCUCUACAAGCAAGGGGAGUGGGGCAGCCCUCAGGUAGCUGCCAGAGAGGCAAAGUGAGGCUGGUGAUACUCAAUGAAAGCUCCAGAUUGGGUAACCCAGUCCCAUUUUUGCAAGUCUUCACAUCUGGAGUAUUAUAUUUCUAACCAAUUCCAUCUGAAAUGAAGAAAAAUCUAAGCUUUUAUCUUUUUUCUAUUUUAUUUUUAGGGUUUGUUUAAUUAUUUAUUUGCAGAUAGUAACGCAAAAAAGUUUCUUCAAAGCUGGUCUGCACAAUGUUCUGUUAAAACUCCCACACAAGGGGCACCCACCACUAGUGAAUUAGAAGGAACUGAGUGAGGAGUCAGAUCUGGUUUCCCUGCAUCUAAUCGAAAUUUUCUGUCUUUCACAUCAUAUCAUACUUGUUCUACCCCUCAGGGUACUCCUGUCCUUGGAUGAGGUUUUAGAGUGGCUGCUAAAUCCUGUUGGAAUGGAGUUCCAGGCAGCCUAGACGUCUGAAAGCUUGGCUGCACAGAAUGCAGGACAGGACUGUUGGGAUGGGGAGAAGCUGCAUCUCCAGAUGAGGUCUCAGCUGUGCUGUGCAGGUUUCCAGAGCAGUCCACCCCUCCCCUGGGCUCGGGAGAUGUGGGAAAUCUGCUUUGCUGGCCCAUUCCACAGAGCCCUGUGUCCAGUUUCACUGUCCAGCCAUUCCAGACCUGCUGGCUGUGAGGAGCCUGCAAGAGCAAUGCCAAAUGGGCAAGAGAAGAUGUAAGCAUGGAAGAUUUGUCAAAGAAAACUUUUAAAAAAUGUCAUAUGUCCCACAGCAGUCCAAAGUAAUAGUUCAGCUGCUAAAAAGGUGGAAUUAAAUAGGUCAGGCUGUAGAGCUGUGCCACUCUCUGCCAGCUAAAGGAACUAACUUCUCAUCUGUUAGAUUGUUUCAUCUUUUGCUGCUCCAAGAAUCCAUCUCUCUGCUAGUAAUGAUGUCAAAUAAAUCUUCGCUAAAAUGUAAAAAUGUUUAUGAUUAUACUUACUGACCUGUUCCUUUAUUAAAUGAGGACAAUAGGAUGAUGCCUUGAUAUUUACUAAUGGGUUACUCCCAUCUAACCUUUUCUUGUUCAUCUAGAUCAUCUGUUUUCAUUUCACCAUUCAAUGGCUGCCAAUAAAAUUAAGUCAAUUAAAUUAAA